rnacentral:rRNA from 1 species
ACCCCUCUUUUCACUUCUUUUUAUUCUUUUCUUAGCUCCGAGCAAGGCAAAAAGGGACACCCCGCCUCCAAGAAACGGACCACUGUCGGUUUGGACUUCGCUUGGGUGCGACAAGCGGCUGGGCAGGUGACGACGAGGCCGGUCGGUACUCCCAGGAGCGCGAGGAGGAGGAUGAUACCUAGAGACGGCGGCGGUGACGUAGGGGAGGCGGCGAGCUCUGGGAGCCGUAGGGAGGCGUUCUACUCCGCAUGAUGUCCCCGCCGCACUAGUUCACGUCCCUGCCUAGCCCGUUCAAGUGGUCCCUAGUCGAGUUGCUGCUGAAGACGCUGACAGGGCUGCCGUGGCUGCUCGGUCCCUGUAGGCGCACGGGCCUCCGCUUUAAGAUGACGUUCUUACGGCCUGUAAGAGGUUAGUGGUAGAAGAGCAGCGCUCACUUACUACCAUAUACGCUAACGACACUGCCCUCACUACUUAUGCCAUCGUUAUCGUGAACGUUCUUAUGUACGACCCUUCGACCGUUCCGCCGCUCCCUCUUCAAUUUCUUCUUUCAUCGAUGUAUAUUUUCACCACAGCAAUAAGCCUUAGUCCUUCAACUUUUCCGGUUUAACCGUUAACGAUUUCUACUUCGUCUCAAUUGUUUUGAUUUCCCACUUCUCUUCUAUGAGGUCCCCGAACAGCUGUUCGAGUUUCUCGUUUUCUCUAAUUAUCUUUUCCGUCUCCUUCUCCUCGCGGAUUAUUUUCUCUUCCUUCUUUUCUCUUAAUUUCUUCUUCGACUUUUUGUUCGCCGACUCCUUUUGUUUCGUGGACUACGGAGAGUCCUUCGUCUAAGAGUCCUGUGAUUACUCUUCCGUGUUCUUCUACUUUCGUUCCAUCAACUUGUAGUACUACCUCUAUAGUGCCUGGUACUGUUAGUGAGUGGUCUUCCGCUCUGUAGACAACUUCACGGACUGUAAUUUCGACCCUGACCUCUACUGCUUGGUGGCCACCUCUGUAGACGUUAUGGAUGGCUUCUCGUCCUGGGAUGAAGACAGUUGAGACUUCCAAACAGUUUCCGCCUUAACCCAGCAGACCAUCGAAGAGCGACCUGACCUCUUUUACAUCUACUACAACCAUUUUCGCUAUUUUUCCCGGUACUCCUACUCGACCUAUAAGGUCUUGGACGUCUUCUUCGUAAACUUCUACUCGUACUAUAUGGUCUUGGGCAUCUUCUUUUAAUACGACCGAUAGUAAGUCUUCAACUCCUACUAUCCGUGUUUAAACUUCUGCUUCUCAACAGAUUACAUAGUCUACUACUUAUACAACUACUAGUACUUCUUGGACUACACAGGAUAUUUAGACUACUGCUGGCCUUUCCACUACUGGUAAGUCUAAAUUGACGGAGUCCUGUUCGUAGUACCGACCUGUUCUAAGUCGUUUGACAUGUCUUACAAAAUGUCUUUAAGUUGAAAAAGUUCUGGGGACAACUAAAUAGUCUCCGACGAGUACAAGCCUUCCUCAUACUACUACGAUCGAGUUUCGACAGGUUUUAAGUUAGAUCCUAUUGGAGAGACUGUCUAUUCGAUUUCGUUCUGAAACCAUUCCUCUUCCUCAAGAUAAUGAAAAUACUGGUCACGAAACUCCCGUUCCUCCCGUUCAUACAAAUGUUCCAGACAGGUAUGUUCUUUCGAAGUGUCCAACUUCCUGUGUCAAGGUGAUUGGACCCCGCGACCCUGUUUAAACUUCUUAGGAUGUCCUACUACGUGAAAAGUUUACCUCUGUUUACGACCUUACCGGGACUGGCUUCGGAUUUCCAGUCCGAAUCUACACCCGACUCGUUGCUCGAAUUGCCACAACUACUCGGGUCGUCUACGCUCAUACAGCGACACGACAGUUGAGGACGUUACACACAACUUCUCUUCGACUUCCUCGACGUUGUCUUUGAGCUGCGACGCAGAAGUUUGGACAGGUCGGUGCUGCUCGAGAUUUGACAGUGCUCCUUUGUUACUGAGGUGAUAAUGUUGGUAUUGGUGUUCUUUCUUUCCGAUGGCUCCAUGUACAACCUAUCUAUCUUUUCGGACCUCGACACGCGGUUUCAUCGCAAUCAGACCAAUCCCUUUUAAAACUCGUUUUACCAGCCUACCAACUUUAAAAGUGUAGUAGGACUAAAAUCAUCGACGUUCACCUAUAGAAAAAGAAAAUCAAGGAAACUGCCUGCAAAGGAGUUUAACAAAUAGAUCCAGUAGACUUUCUCUGAUUCGGAAGACAAACAUUGAAUAGUCAAUACGUGUCGCAGAGACUCGGUUGUGUAGUAGAACUCUAACUACUUCAACAGUGUCUGCAACGGCAUCAGCUACUCUUGUAGAAGAGGGUGAUUUGUGCGUAGCGACUUUCUGGAUAUUUAGAACUUUUUACG